rnacentral:rRNA from 1 species
GAUGAACGCUGGCGGCGUGCCUAAUACAUGCGAGUCGAGCGAACAGAUAAGGAGCUUGCUCCUUUGACGUUAGCGGCGGACGGGUGAGUAACACGUGGGUAACCUACCUAUAAGACUGGGAUAACUUCGGGAAACCGGAGCUAAUACCGGAUAAUAUUUCGAACCGCAUGGUUCGAUAGUGAAAGAUGGUUUUGCUAUCACUUAUAGAUGGACCCGCGCCGUAUUAGCUAGUUGGUAAGGUAACGGCUUACCAAGGCGACGAUACGUAGCCGACCUGAGAGGGUGAUCGGCCACACUGGAACUGAGACACGGUCCAGACUCCUACGGGAGGCAGCAGUAGGGAAUCUUCCGUAAUGGGCGAAAGCCUGACGGAGCAACGCCGCGUGAGUGAUGAAGGUCUUCGGAUCGUAAAACUCUGUUAUUAGGGAAGAACAUACGUGUAAGUAACUGUGCACGUCUUGACGGUACCUAAUCAGAAAGCCACGGCUAACUACGUG